rnacentral:rRNA from 1 species
GACGAACGCUGGCGGCGUGCUUAACACAUGCAAGUCGAACGGAAAGGCCCCUUCGGGGGUCCUCGAGUGGCGAACGGGUGAGUAACACGUGAGUAACCUGCCCUUGACUUCGGGAUAACUUCAGGAAACUGGGGCUAAUACCGGAUAGGAAUCCUUGCUGCAUGGUGGGGGUUGGAAAGCUUCGGCGGUUUUGGAUGGACUCGCGGCUUAUCAGCUUGUUGGUAGGGUAGUGGCUUACCAAGGCUUUGACGGGUAGCCGGCCUGAGAGGGCGACCGGCCACAUUGGGACUGAGAUACGGCCCAGACUCCUACGGGAGGCAGCAGUGGGGAAUAUUGCACAAUGGGCGGAAGCCUGAUGCAGCAACGCCGCGGGCGGGAUGACGGCCUUCGGGUUGUAAACCGCUUUCAGCAGGGGCGAAGCUUGUGGUGACGGUACCUGCAGAAGAAGCACCGGCUAACUACGUG